GGCUCUAUAGCUCAGUGGUAGAGCAUACGAUUGCAGAUCGUGCGGUCCCGUGUUCGAACCACGGUGGGGCCU
rnacentral:tRNA from 2 species